rnacentral:lncRNA from 1 species
GAAAAGUCACACAACACAUGGCGAUUCUUAAUCUAGUCAAGCUGCCAAUUAACAUUAGCUGUCACAGGUGCCAGGAUAAGGAAGCACAGGAUGUUUGGGAGCGGCUGAGAGGACCUGAAUGGCUGCAAAUAGACGCCUCCUGUCAGAGCUGGAUCUGCUCAGGAUGUUAUGAUCAAGGUGGCACCUGCACUUCCCAAGGGGAUGUAGGAGAGGGCUCUGCAUGCAAGAACACUAUCUGUGAAACAGAUUGGGGAAGCCCAAUCGUGUUUUCCUAGACUCUAAAGUCAUGGCUCCCAGGACUCCAGAUAAUCUGCCAUAUAGUAUUAGCAAAGCAUUGUCUCA